AAAGCCUUUCGGGAGGCUAGUGGCGGACGGGUGAGUAACACGUAGGAAUCUGCCUCAUAGUGGGGGAUAACUUGGGGAAACUCAAGCUAAUACCGCAUACGCCCUACGGGGGAAAGCAGGGGGACCUUCGGGCCUCGCGCUAUGAGAUGAGCCUGCGUUAGAUUAGCUAGUUGGUGGGGUAAAGGCCUACCAAGGCGACGAUCUAUAGCUGGUCUGAGAGGACGACCAGCCACACUGGGACUGAGACACGGCCCAGACUCCUACGGGAGGCAGCAGUAGGGAAUAUUGGACAAUGGACGAAAGCCUGAUCCAGCAAUACCGCGUGUGUGAAGAAGGCCUGAGGGUUGUAAAGCACUUUCAAUUGGGAGGAAAACCUACCGGUCGAAUAGCCCGGUAGCUUGACAUUACCUUUAGAAGAAGACCGGCUAACUCCGUGCCAGCAGCCGCGGUAAUACGUAGGGUGCAAGCGUUAAUCGGAAUUACUGGGCGUAAAGCGUGCGUACGCGGUUAUUUAAGUCAGAUGUGAAAGCCCCGGGCUUAACCUGGGUACGCAUUUGAUACUGGGUAACUAGAGUUUAAUAGAGGAAAGUGGAAUUUCAGGUGUAGCGGUGAAAUGCGUAGAGAUCUGAAGAACCCCCCCAGUGGGAA
rnacentral:rRNA from 1 species